AAACUNUUNGGAUUNNNNGGCCCNCCGGAAGACCNNCGACGCCGNGUGCGNUAUGAAGGCCUUCGGGUUGUAAACCGCUUUCAGCAGGGAAGAAGCGAAAGUGACGGUACCUGCAGAAGAAGCACCGGCUAACUAUGUGCCAGCAGCCGCGGUAAUACAUAGGGUGCAAGCGUUGUCCGGAAUUAUUGGGCGUAAAGAGCUCGUAGGUGGUUCGUCACGUCGGAUGUGAAACUCUGGGGCUUAACCCCAGACCUGCAUUCGAUACGGGCGAGCUUGAGUAUGGUAGGGGAGUCUGGAAUUCCUGGUGUAGCGGUGGAAUGCGCAGAUAUCAGGAGGAACACCAAUGGCGAAGGCAGGACUCUGGGCCAUUACUGACACUGAGGAGCGAAAGCGUGGGGAGCGAACAGGAUUAGAUACCCUGGUAGUCCACGCCGUAAACGGUGGGCACUAGUUGUGGGGACCUUCCACGGUCUCUGCGACGCAGCUAACGCAUUAAGUGCCCCGCCUGGGGAGUACGA
rnacentral:rRNA from 1 species